rnacentral:lncRNA from 1 species
GGACACCAUGCAAGGGAAUAUGCCAAGGUAACCAAUUGCUUUACUUACUAUUUCCAAUUUAAUAUUUUUUCUUUCAUCAUCUAGCAAUAAACUUCUUUCUUACUAAUGGCAUUCUAAAGAAAAGCAAUCCAUUAAAGGAAGAUCAAAAGGAAAACAGAAAAAAAAAAAAGGCAAAGAACUUUACUGGAUGAAGCCAUUGAUGAUGAUCCAUCCAGAUCCCCAACUGUUGAAAAUAUGCCAACUGAAGAUGAAAUGUCAUUAUUAGCACCCCAACCAAGCUACACGAGCCAAUCCAGCAACUUAAGUUUAUGUCAACCCCUUUAGUUUCAUGGCAUGAAACAAGCAGCAGUACUUUUCUAGAUUUUGACUAUCCAGACUUUGAUGAUGAACGUGACAUUGUUGUAAGGCCAUACAUACUCAUUAAACAAACAUCAUAACAACACACAUCAAAGAUGAUUUUUCAUAAGAUCACAUUAACAUUGGUACUGCAACAAAUCCAACAAAGAAAUGGCCAUAAAAGCAUAAGCAACGUUUAACACUUUCUUCUCCAAUUUUCUGACUUUGGAAGCUUCAGCUUGGUGUGGAACCUCCAUGGAAAUUAAUUCUUCUUUCAAUUUGUUCCUUUCAAUUUUAACCGCUUCCAAAGAUGAUUUUGUAAUCAUAUUGCUAUUACAGAACAUUUGGUCUUCCUAUUCAAAAUAACCACAAGAACUAAUCUGUGGAAGACAAAGCAAAGAAGAAUAGAAAAGCAUUAAGUAGACCAAAAAUCCAAACAAUUGAGAAAAAGCUAACUUUUGUGACAUAAUUAGAAUUACGCAUUUCUUAGGCUUCAGACAUUUAUAGAAUCUCCUUUCGGGGUUAAAUGCAUCCGUUAACGUCAAGUGGUUAGCAAUAAUACCACAUUGACACCUGAUCUGGGAUGAACAACUACCUUGCGACACUGAUGAGAAAGAAAUUUGUGAAAGAUAUGAACCCUAAUUUUUCAACAAUGGAACCCAAAUAAGCGUAGGGAAUUACAGAUAGAAUCGGAUUGGUAUUAUUAGGGUCAAGUUUGUGGAGAGGGGUUUUAAUUUGGUGGAGUCAGCUGAUGUGGC